GUUGGUUGCAGUUUUUGACCGCAGCUACAGUACGCCUGCAUGUUUUUUUAAAGCUACAGUACCCCCUGCGAGCUAUAGUACUUCGUGUGCUACAGUAGUUGUCAAAUGGCCGGUCCAGUCGCAGGCAACGAGUGUAUCUCCCGGCUCGCCUAUUCGCCAAAUGGGCGGCCCAGUCAAAAUGGCUGUGGACUGCCGGUCCAGCAAAAGUAUGGGACGACGACGAGACCCACUUUUGCAAAGCCAUCAGUGGCCCGACUCAUCCUCUAGCGAGACUUUCAUUGCGCACCGGCGUCCCAGACCACCGCCGGCUUCCGCCGUCUGGCCACAUCACACCUGUCCCGGCUCAUCGCCGUCGUCCUUGGCAACCUUCGCUAGUUAGCUGCCUUCUCGGAACCGCGACACCGUUGCUCCAGCAGCGAUGCAGCCAGGCCGGGCGUCCGCAUGUCCACCACGCCCACAAGGUGCUCGGCGCAGUGCGCGACCGCGGCCAUGUGGCCAGCCAAUCAUUUGCACUUGUUCCGUAGCUGUGGGCUGUAGCGCAUUUGGCAAGGAGGGAAAUUUCAGAAGCUGGAGCGAGAAAAGGGAAACUGGGAAAAUGUUUCGGUCCAUAGAGGCUGGUUCGCAAAGAACCUGCAGAUAUAGAUGAAGCAGUUGGGCAUUUCCUGCGUUUUCAUCCAGCCUAGUGUUCCCUUCCCACCUCUAGUUUCAGACCCAAAUGUUUUGAUUUUGAAUGGCUAUACACUCCCAUCUGUUUCAUCCUGUCAAUUUCUAUUUCAAGAUAGUUUUCCAUUUUCAUUGAUGUGUAAUCAAGAGUGCAAUUCAUUUU